rnacentral:misc_RNA from 1 species
GAUGAAGAACGCAGCGAAAUGCGAUAAGUAAUGUGAAUUGCAGAAUUCAGUGAAUCAUCGAAUCUUUGAACGCACAUUGCGCCCGCCAGUAUUCUGGCGGGCAUGCCUGUCCGAGCGUCAUUUCAACCCUCGAACCCCUCCGGGGGGUCGGCGUUGGGGAUCGGCCCCUCACCGGGCCGCCCCCGAAAUCCAGUGGCGGUCUCGCCGCAGCCUCUCCUGCGCAGUAGUUUGCACACUCGCACCGGGAGCGCGGCGCGGCCACAGCCGUAAACCACCCCAAACUCUGAAAUGUUGACCUCGGAUCAGGUAGGAAUACCCGCUGAACUUAAGCAUAUCAAUAAGCGGAGGA